rnacentral:misc_RNA from 1 species
CCUGCGGAAGGAUCAUUAGAUUGAAUUAUCAUUUUGUUGCUCGAGUUCUUUUGAAGAUCUUUUACAACUAAAUGGGUUGUUUCAGUUUGAGAUGUGCGCUUAAUUGCGCUGCUUAUUCAGAAACUCUCAGUAGAAGUAAUCUUUUCUUGAAUCUCAGUCAACUACUACACACAGUGGAGUUUUCUACUAAUUUUAAUUCUUUGCUUUGGGUCGAAAGGCCCAGAGUAAAAAAACAAACACAAACAAUUUUUUUUAUUAUAAUUUUUAAGCUAAACCAAAAUUCCUAACGGAAAUUUUAAAAUAAUUUAAAACUUUCAACAACGGAUCUCUUGGUUCUCGCAUCGAUGAAGAACGUAGCGAAUUGCGAUAAGUAAUGUGAAUUGCAGAUACUCGUGAAUCAUUGAAUUUUUGAACGCACAUUGCGCCCUCAGGUAUUCCUGGGGGCAUGCCUGUUUGAGCGUCAUUUCCUUCUCAAAAUAAAAUUUAUUUUUUGUUUUGGUAAUGAGCGAUACUCAGGGUUAGCUUGAAAUUGAAGAUACUUUCUGUGUCUUUAGUAAUUCAACACUUAGCUUCUUUGGAGACGCUGUUCUCGCUGUGAUGUAUUUAUGGAUUCGUCUAUUUCUGCAUUUGCAAGGGAAUCGGUAAAGUACCUUAGGCAAAGAGUUGUUUUUAAUAUUCAUAAAGUUUGACCUCAAAUCAGGUAGGAUUACCCGCUGAACUUAAGCAUAUCAAUAA